AUCUGGGAUAGCUCAGUUAGUAGAGCAUAAGACUCUUAAUCUUAGGGUCAUGGGUUUGAGCCCCACUUUGGGCA